UGCAGGAUUGCAUAUCUCCCACUCUCAUUCUCACCCUCAGCAAAUGCACCAACUAAUCAGCUAGGAACACAAGGGGGAUUAACAGUUUCCAAGCAACUGCUGAAGAUUCAAGUGACUUCAGCAGACUUGAUCUAGCUAGCCAAUCGCCGGUCAAAAUGUGAAUGCUAGAUGAUGCAAGUGCUGCUGCCACUUUAGGGGUCAGACAAUGACAUCCUAAAAGAUCAUGUAACACUCCAUGGAUCCUCUGUUUGACUCUGAUGACCAAUGCUCCAUUGUUACUCUUUUUAUUCAGUUCAGACUGCACAAUGCCAUGUAUGUUGCUGGUCACAAGCUAGCUAAGAAAUUAAGGUUGUUUUCACACUUGGUUCAUACUAUUGUGUGUAAAUUCUUUUUCCACCAUGAGGUACUAAUUAAUUAAUCAAUCAAACUGCAACACAAUGAGCUACCACUGCACUUUUAUCAUGUUGUUUUCCUACUGUAUUCAGCUAGCUUGCUGGCUAGGCUAGGGCCACUUGAAACGAAACAAGGAUGGAUUCUUUGAAUCGUUUGCUUUUUUCUCCUCUUUAACCACACAUAUAUACUUGUGUCCAUGGAUGCUCUUGUAUGUUUCAUUCGACAGUAAAAUCAACUCCUUUGAUGAUAUAUCCCAUCUUUUGAUGCAUGUCCUGACCUCUUUUAUCAGGCAAGUAAAAAUAUACGAUUGAAGAUCCCCAGACAUACACCAGAGGGAUUGGAUUCUUGCCUUGCUGCUGGAGGCAGGCAGGCAUUGCAGCAGUGCAGGAGCAAUGCCACAUCACUGUCCAUCCAUCCAGGGGAUGUCUUUUUUGCAUCCCUCACAAUCUUCUCUCCUUUUGAGAAAGCAGGAGGAACCGGCCAUGGAUCCUUGUACAUCAAUCUAUCUAUCCCUGUCUCUCAUGCUUCUUUUUAUGUCCCAAAAAGAACAGAAAAAAAUAACAAGAACAAAGACGUGUUGUGGCUACAGAAGAUGAGGCUCAAAGCUUCUUUGGCACAAAAGAGCAGGGGAAUAGUAGUCCAUGGCCACUCUUUGGGAGAAAAUAUGCAUGGAUGAAUUUGAGUGAAUGGUUUCAUCAUUUGUGCUAUGUGCUUUUGCUUUGUUCCAGGAUCCCUCCCUCCCAAAGGAGUUGACACAAAGUGAAAGGUGUUCUAUAUAUCUAUCUAUCCAUCCACCAGGAAUAUUAUGUAUGCAUCCACAGCCUCUACAUACACUGCGCUUUCUUUUGAAACGAACAGAGCCUAAACUGUCUGUCCCCUUAUUUUGACCAGGCCAUCCACAUCUUUGACUUGUUGUCUAGUCCACUUUGAACUUAUAGUCUCCCGAACAUGUUACUGCAGGGAACUAAUUAUUAAUCCACUUAAACCGGCAGGAAUUGUUACCGUGCUUCAAUACAUAAUCGGAUGCUUCUA